rnacentral:rRNA from 1 species
GAUGAACGCUGGCGGCGUGCCUAACACAUGCAAGUCGAACGGUAACAGGAAACAGCUUGCUGUUUCGCUGACGAGUGGCGGACGGGUGAGUAAUGUCUGGGAAACUGCCUGAUGGAGGGGGAUAACUACUGGAAACGGUAGCUAAUACCGCAUAACGUCGCAAGACCAAAGAGGGGGACCUUCGGGCCUCUUGCCAUCGGAUGUGCCCAGAUGGGAUUAGCUAGUAGGUGGGGUAACGGCUCACCUAGGCGACGAUCCCUAGCUGGUCUGAGAGGAUGACCAGCCACACUGGAACUGAGACACGGUCCAGACUCCUACGGGAGGCAGCAGUGGGGAAUAUUGCACAAUGGGCGCAAGCCUGAUGCAGCCAUGCCGCGUGUAUGAAGAAGGCCUUCGGGUUGUAAAGUACUUUCAGCGGGGAGGAAGGGAGUAAAGUUAAUACCUUUGCUCAUUGACGUUACCCGCAGAAGAAGCACCGGCUAACUCCGUGCCAGCCGCCGCAGUAA